rnacentral:rRNA from 1 species
GAUUAACGCUAGCGGCAGGCCUAAUACAUGCAAGUCGAGGGGCAGUUUUGUAGCAAUACAAAAGCGACCGGCGUACGGGUGCGUAACACGUAUGCAACCUACCUUUAACUGGGGCAUAGCCCCGAGAAAUCGGGAUUAAUACCCCAUAACAUUGCGAAAAGGCAUCUUUUUGCAAUUAAAGCUCCGGCGGUUAAAGAUGGGCAUGCGCGACAUUAGUUUGUUGGUGAGGUAACGGCUCACCAAGACUACGAUGUCUAGGGGUUCUGAGAGGAUUUUCCCCCACACUGGUACUGAGACACGGACCAGACUCCUACGGGAGGCAG